rnacentral:rRNA from 1 species
UACGGAGGGUGCGAGCGUUGUCCGGAAUCAUUGGGCGUAAAGGGCGCGUAGGUGGCGGGACAAGCGUGCGGUGAAAGCGUCGGGGCUCAACCCCGCGUCGGCCAGUGCGAACUGUUUUGCUUGAGCACUGGUAGAGGCAGGCGGAAAUUCCGGGUGUAGCGGUGGAAAUGCGUAGAAGAUCCGGAAGAACACCGGUGGCGAAGGCGGCCUGCUGGGCAGUAGCUGACACUGAGGCGCGACAGCGUGGGGAGCAAACAGG